AAGACAUAAAGUCAAUAUCACCCUCCGAUUGCUAGAGGUCGCCCAUUGCUUCAGUGGCGGCUU
rnacentral:ncRNA from 19 species